GUCACCUGCACGAAAAAGCCUUCAGCGUUGGAAGGGUAUCAAUAAUAUCUAAUGUCAACCGCUACUUUACAACAGUUAGGUCUAUUUGCCUACGGAGAGCGGAGGAAGUGACGUAUAAUAGCGGCGUCCUUGGCAGCGUGACGUUGCAAGAGAAGACACAGGUCUGGGAGCCAAGGAGCAGAAGCAGGAAUAACCACACUUACCAUCGCUUCUGAUGACCACCUGGAGGCCGUGUGCUCUUGUCUCCACACUUUGUACCCUGAGGUCUGUUCCUCACAGGAAGUGCACUUUUGUCCUUCGGCACAACAGGAAUCCCACUGAACUAUAAGGAGCUGAUUCCUGAUAAGUAUCUCACACCCCAAACUCUGUCUCACAUCUGCUUCAGGAGAAUCCAAACUGUUGAC